rfam:Brachypodium distachyon strain Bd21 chromosome 1, whole genome shotgun sequence.
AUGAUACUCCUUCUGUCUCAUAUUAAGUGACUUUCUAUUACAUGUAUCUAGACGUUUUUCAGGUAUAGAUACAUUCAUAUUUGGGUAAAUUUGAGUCACUUAAUAUGGGACAGAGGGAGUAUUUG